rnacentral:lncRNA from 1 species
CCCCCCGCCAAUCUUCAGGGCCAGAGGCCUUCUCGGCCACACCCUCUCCUCCCAUGGAGGCGGCGGCUUCCGCCAUCUUGCCCUACCCUGCUGGUCUUGUUCCUACCAUCUCCAGCGCCAAAGGGCCUCCCAUCUUCAGCUCCAGAGGCCUUCUUGUUCCUACCAUCUCCAGCGCCACAGGGCCUCCCAUCUUCAGAGCCAGAGGCCUUCUCGGCCCCGCCCUCCCCUGCCCAGGGUCCUGCCCAUCUUCAGCACCAGAGGCCUUCUCGGCCACGCCCUCCCCUGCCCAGGGUCCCGCCCAUCUUCCGCGCCAGAGGCCUUCUCGGCCACGCCCUCCCCUGCCCAGGGUCCCGCCCAUCUUCCGCGCCAGAGGCCUUCUCGGCCACGCCCUCUACUGAGGUGGAGGCCGCGGCUUCCGCCAUCUUGCCCUACCCUGCUGAUCUUGUUCCUACCAUCUCCAGCGCCAGAGGGCCUCCCAUCUUCAGCGCCAGAGGGCCUUUUUGGCCGCACCCUACCCUACAGCGGCCCACCAUCUUCAGCACCAGAAAGCAGCAAGAGGAGUGCUUGGGGGCCAGAUAAAAAAUCUGAUUCCAACACCGUUGCGUCAGGAGGGAAACACGUCUUUCACGCCAUAUUUGCCAUCAAGAGACUGAACCUGUGUUCUAUCUUCUUCAGAAACACUAAUGAAGUUAGAGCCUUAAAUUAUGUUCAGACCUAAGAAUGUCAUGUUAUAUUGACUGUUAAUAUUUCACUGCUCUUCAUAAAAUCUUGAAUUGCAUUUGGGACACAAAAAAGGAUACUACGAUGUAGCUACCCUCUUGAACUAUGUGGCAUAUUAAAUUAUCA